rnacentral:rRNA from 1 species
CAGCCGCCGCGGUAACACGUAGGGCGCAAGCGUUAUCCGGAAUUAUUGGGCGUAAAGAGCUCGUAGGCGGUUUGUCGCGUCUGCCGUGAAAGUCCGGGGCUCAACCCCGGAUCUGCGGUGGGUACGGGCAGACUAGAGUGAUGUAGGGGAGACUGGAAUUCCUGGUGUAGCGGUGAAAUGCGCAGAUAUCGGGAGGAACACCGAUGGCGAAGGCAGGUCUCUGGGCAUUAACUGACGCUGAGGAGCGAAAGCAUGGGGAGCGAACAGGAUUAGAUACCCGAGUAGUCCCUGUCUCUUAUAC